CCAAUUACAUUUUCAGGGUCUAAUAGUUUCUCAACAGAUAGCCUUGAGUCUUUUAGGCUCAAGAUAAUCAUCUCCUCCGCUAAUAGCAAAAGGACUGGAAGGAACCACACUAUUAUUUAUAAAGAUAUGAUUUGGCUUGGUUUUGAACUUCACCAGAAGGAGACCUGUCUUCAGGGACUUUCUCCACUGCAUACUAAGCCAUGAAAUGCUCUGCUCUCUUCUCUUUUCCUUGCUGUCCCCCGGGGCUGGAGGAACACAGGCCUCCCAGGCACCCGGCCUCAACCUUGCUGGACUCCCGUCUCCUUCCAAGGGCUGGGCCUAGGGGCCAGAAACCGAGCCUUAUUUGCAGCAGCAGAAGACUGGAGACACCCACGUGCCCAUCAAUAGGGGACUGAUUACAGAGAUUAUGACCCUGGAAAAGGGUCCAGCAAUGAGAGUGAACACAGCAGGUUGUGACAGAAGAAGCCGGACCCCAGAGGCUGUGCACACCAUCCUUCUCUUCCUCUCAAGACUCAAAUCUGUUCAGAUAAAAACUAAGCUACAACGUUAGAGAUGCUCAUAAAGAAAAGUAAGGGGUGGGAGCGGAGGUGUAGCUCACGGGAGGGCUCCCGGCUGGCACGCACCCGACCCGGGUCCUGCACAGUACCAAGCGGGGAAAGUGUAAGGAAAUAAUUUCUAAAAAAAACCUAGGACAGAAGUAAAGGGAGGUUUGAGGUGCUCUGGGUCCUGGCAAUCUUUUAUUUCUUUUCCUAAUUUAUUUUUUAAAAUUUUAUUUAUUUUUUUCAUUUUUUUUUUCUUUCCCCAGUGCUGGGUCAAACCCAGGCCUUAUAUAUGCUAGACAAGUGCUUUCCCAUUGAGUCACACCUUCAACCCUUCUUAAGUUGCUUAGGGUCUUGCUAAAUUGUUCAGAAUGGCCUCAAACUUGAGAUCCUCCUUCCUCAGCCUCCU